UACGUAGGGCGCAAGCGUUAUCCGGAAUUAUUGGGCGUAAAGAGCUCGUAGGCGGUUUGUCGCGUCUGCCGUGAAAGUCCGGGGCUCAACUCCGGAUCUGCGGUGGGUACGGGCAGACUAGAGUGAUGUAGGGGAGACUGGAAUUCCUGGUGUAGCGGUGAAAUGCGCAGAUAUCAGGAAGAACACCAAUGGCGAAAGCAGCUUUCUGGGACGGUACUGACGCUGAGACGCGAAAGCGUGGGGAGCGAACAGG
rnacentral:rRNA from 1 species